rnacentral:rRNA from 1 species
GAUGAACGCUAGCGGCAGGCCUAAUACAUGCAAGUCGAACGGUGUCUUCGGACAUAGUGGCGCACGGGUGCGUAACACGUAUGCAACCUACCUUACAUUGGGGGAUAGCCUUUCGAAAGGGAGAUUAAUACCGCAUAAGACAGUAGCUGGGCAUCCAGCAGCUGUUAAAGAUUUAUCGAUGUAAGCUGGGCAUGCGUCCAAUUAGCUAGUUGGUGAGGUAACGGCUCACCAAGGCAAUGAUUGGUAGGGGAACUGAGAGGUCAAUCCCCCACACUGGCACUGAGAUACGGGCCAGACUCCUACGGGAGGCAGCAGUAGGGAAUAUUGGGCAAUGGACGCAAGUCUGACCCAGCCAUGCCGCGGGCUGGAUGAAGGCGUUAUGCGUUGUAAACUGCUUUUAUACAGGAAGAAACGACUCUUGCGAGAGGCAUUGACGGUACUGUAUGAAUAAGUACCGGCUAACUCCGUGCCAGCAGCCGCAGUAAUAC